ACUCCUACGGGAGGCAGCAGUGAGGAAUAUUGGACAAUGGAGGCAACUCUGAUCCAGCCAUGCCGCGUGUAGGAAGACUGCCCUAUGGGUUGUAAACUACUUUUAUAGAGGAAGAAAUCGCAAUACGUGUAUUGCUCUGACGGUACUCUACGAAUAAGGAUCGGCUAACUCCGUGCCAGCAGCCGCGGUAAUACGGAGGAUCCAAGCGUUAUCCGGAAUCAUUGGGUUUAAAGGGUCCGUAGGCGGGCGUAUAAGUCAGUGGUGAAAGUUUGCGGCUCAACCGUAAAAUUGCCAUUGAUACUGUAUGUCUUGAAUAAUUGUGAAGUGGUUUAGAAUAUGUAGUGUAGCGGUGAAAUGCAUAGAUAUUACAUAGAAUACCGAUUGCGAAGGCAGAUCACUAACAAUUUAUUGACGCUAAGGGACGAAAGCGUGGGUAGCGAACAGGAUUAGAUACCCCUGGUAGACUGUCA
rnacentral:rRNA from 1 species